UCCUACGGGAGGCAGCAGUGGGGAAUAUUGCACAAUGGGCGCAAGCCUGAUGCAGCAACGCCGCGUGAGGGACGAAGGCCUUCGGGUUGUAAACCUCUUUUAGUAGGGAAGAAGCGACUGGGUUUUCCUGGGAGUGACGGUACCUGCAGAAAAAGCACCGGCUAACUACGUGCCAGCAGCCGCGGUAAUACGUAGGGUGCAAGCGUUGUCCGGAAUUAUUGGGCGUAAAGAGCUCGUAGGCGGUUUGUCGCGUCUGCUGUGAAAACCCGAGGCUCAACCUCGGGCCUGCAGUGGGUACGGGCAGACUAGAGUGCGGUAGGGGAGAUUGGAAUUCCUGGUGUAGCGGUGGAAUGCGCAGAUAUCAGGAGGAACACCAAUGGCGAAGGCAGAUCUCUGGGCCGUAACUGACGCUGAGGAGCGUAAGCAUGGGGAGCGAACAGGAUUAGAUACCCUGGUAGUCCAUGCCGUAAACGUUGGGAACUAGAUGUGGGGACCAUUCCACGGUCUCCGUGUCGCAGCUAACGCAUUAAGUUCCCCGCCUGGGGAGUACGGCCGCAAGGCUAAAACUCAAAGGAAUUGACGGGGGCCCGCACAAGCGGCGGAGCAUGCGGAUUAAUUCGAUGCAACGCGAAGAACCUUACCAAGGCUUGACAUAUACCGGAAACGGCUGGUAACAGUCGCCCCGCAAGGUCGGUAUACAGGUGGUGCAUGGUUGUCGUCAGCUCGUGUCGUGAGAUGUUGGGUUAAGUCCCGCAACGAGCGCAACCCUCGUCCUAUGUUGCCAGCACGUAAUGGUGGGAACUCAUGGGAUACUCCCGGGGUCAACUCGGAGGAAGGUGGGGAUGACGUCAAAUCAUCAUGCCCCUUAUGUCUUGGGCUUCACGCAUGCUACAAUGGCCGGUACAAAGGGCUGCGAUACCGCAAGGUGGAGCGAAUCCCAAAAAGCCGGUCUCAGUUCGGAUUGAGGUCUGCAACUCGACCUCAUGAAGUCGGAGUCGCUAGUAAUCGCAGAUCAGCAACGCUGCGGUGAAUACGUUCCCGGGCCUUGUACACACCGCC
rnacentral:rRNA from 1 species